GAUCAGUGAUGCAGAUGGAUGAGGACAUCAAGAAAAUGGGAAUAGACAGAAACACAUAGAAUGAAGCUUUUAAUCUUUCUGAACUCAUGAAUUAUGCUGGAGUCACAGUGCAUUGGUGGAAGGAAGUACCAGCUGCGAUGAGACAAGAUUGUCUGCUGGACUUUGGCAGAGGCAAUGGGUCCAUGGUCUGGACAAAGCUCUGAUAUGUAUCCAGAAAAUCAGUGCUUAAAAAGGAGCUACUUGCUGCGAAAAAUUUUGAUAGAAUUGGGGGAGGCUGUCACCGCCUGUUUUGAAGCUGCCUCAUCACAUCUCGAUGGCUAGUUUUGGACAUUUCCACACUUGAGACACGAGAGACAUAAAGAGCCUCUUGGAUCAACAAGUCUGUU